UAGGGAAUCUUCGGCAAUGGACGAAAGUCUGACCGAGCAACGCCGCGUGAGGGAAGAAGGUUUUCGGAUCGUAAAACUCUGUUGUUAGAGAAGAACAAGGACGUUAGUAACUGAACGUCCCCUGACGGUAUCUAACCAGAAAGCCACGGCUAACUACGUGCCAGCAGCCGCGGUAAUACGUAGGUGGCAAGCGUUGUCCGGAUUUAUUGGGCGUAAAGCGAGCGCAGGCGGUUUCUUAAGUCUGAUGUGAAAGCCCCCGGCUCAACCGGGGUGGGGCAUUGGAAACUGGGAGACUUGAGUGCAGAAGAGGAGAGUGGAAUUCCAUGUGUAGCGGUGAAAUGCGUAGAUAUAUGGAGGAACACCAGUGGCGAAGGCGGCUCUCUGGUCUGUAACUGACGCUGAGGCUCGAAAGCGUGGGGAGCAAACAGG
rnacentral:rRNA from 1 species